GAAAUUUAAUCCCCUGCAACUAAGAAGGAAGUGGGUUUGUAAGACUAAGGAAGGACUGCAUCAUAGACCAAGAAGAGGUGUAAGAAGAUGAUGAGGAGAGCCCUGCGGAAACCAGGCAAAAAAAGAAGCCUUGAAUGCUGCCUAGAUCUCUGUUAACCUUUCGUCCUGCCAUCCACCAUCCUGCCAAUGGGCUGUAUUCCAGAGUUUGCCACUGUCCUGCUGGAUGACAUCAGCAAUAUAUUUGGUACUGCUGGUGCACUUGGCUGGAGAAGAAUUUUGGUGACAUCUCCCUCAUUUGGAAAAGCAAGCCGGAUUUCCCUUUACAAAUUAACUCUGUCUCCAGACGAACGGCUUCUGCCCAUCCUCUCUGCUCCAGGGAUGGUGCCCGUGUGCCUACAACGCUCUUUGUUUGGCUGCCACCAAAUCGAUGUGAAAGCACACAGCAGCAAGAACAUAAUCCAUGGAGGUGUUUGGAGCAGCACCAGG
ensembl:lncRNA